GAGGUGCCCAUCUCGAGUUGAUGAUUUAGAGCACUGACCUCAUCUUUGCCCUGAACACAAAGAUGAAUGGAGGAAUGAGCAUGCCUCCUUUGUUUGCACAACAUUUCACUGCCUGGCUCUCCUGGUCAGCAGGAUGGAGACCUGGGCUAUGCUCCUUUUUGAUGCCUGUGGAGACCUGAAGGUCCAUCUCAAAAGCAGCAGAUGAACUCUGUAGAAAAAGGCUAUACUGAGUUACAGAGGAGAGACAGGGCAGCCACCUCUACUCACAAGGGUUUUACAUUUAGUGCUCAAUAGAGCUUGGGCCGAAGUCAUCACCCCCAUCCUUGUCCCCAGGCAAUAGACUCAUGCUUUCUCUGCCCUAAUAAUUACUUAAUUAUUGCCACAUGGAAAAGUUUCAACAGAUGGUCUGGAGCUGAAUAAAUUGUAUUCCUGCAGGCCAAGGAUUCAGCAAAAAUUGGACCCCACACCCGAGUGGGCCCUUUAGCAGCUGAGCCUAUGGAGCUGGCAGCAAGCCCUGAGCUUUUCACCAGAUAAUGCAUCCUGUCAGUGUUUUCUGUGAGUGCUUGUCAAGAGUGUAGAUAAAGAGGCACAUGGACCUGGGCAGCAGCUGAGCAAGCAGUUUUAGGAUGUAAGUUUUAGACCUAGCAAUGAGCAGUGAGCUGGGGGGAAGACCAGGGAGAAAAACUUGAUAUGAAAACUUACUGGAAAAAA